UAUGUGGGCUUAACACCGGGCGACUC
rnacentral:piRNA from 1 species